rnacentral:rRNA from 1 species
GACAGCAGUAGCCGCGGGAAUACAGAGGGUGCGAGCGUUAAUCGGAUUUACUGGGCGUAAAGCGUGCGUAGGCGGCUUUUUAAGUCGGAUGUGAAAUCCCUGAGCUUAACUUAGGAAUUGCAUUCGAUACUGGGAAGCUAGAGUAUGGGAGAGGAUGGUAGAAUUCCAGGUGUAGCGGUGAAAUGCGUAGAGAUCUGGAGGAAUACCGAUGGCGAAGGCAGCCAUCUGGCCUAAUACUGACGCUGAGGUACGAAAGCAUGGGGAGCAAACAGGAUUAGAUACCCCGUAGUCCCUGUCUCUUAUACA